UCUCUGAUCCUGGCUGGCUAGGUGUGAUUUGUUGGUGGCCACAGACCCCUGUCCCUUCCCAAGCCACCCUGUCUGUCCUGCUGCCUGGGGGCCAAGGGCACAACACAGAAGAGCUCAGGAUGUCCCCCCCAGUCUGUCCUGCUGCCCACGCAGGAGGCACGUGGGGAGACACCCCUCUUGACUGCCUACAACCUCAAAACAGGCCAAAGUGUCUAGCUCAGAAUAUCCCCUUCUUCUGGAGAAAAGAACCAAGCAGAAGGCCAGUCUUAGAGAUCUGUUGGGGCUUUCAGGACAUUCCCUCCAAAACUGCCACCAUCCUCUCUGGCUCACCCUGUUCUCUGCCCAGCUCCGAUGGCCAGCGAGCAUUCAGCCUUCCCCCCAUGCUUCCUGCUUCUUGGGCCAGAGGAAUCUUAGCUGUCAAUUUGACCAACCCCUGAGUACACAGAUCCGAUCACUCUCUUGGAAAGUCCCGGACCCAGGUCAUUCUGGAAGCUUCUUCCAGAAGUUGGAAGCCGGAGACAUGAGAACAGAUCAGAAUAGAGGGAAUGCCAUUCCCUCAGACCCUCCAUCUCUUUCCUGUGCUCCUAUUACCCCCUCAGGGCAGUCCCACAGCCUGUAGGGCAAAACCAGGUGUGUGUGGUUGGGGGCCGCCAGGUGGAAGAAGUUCUCUAGGGACUCUGUGUGUCUGCGGUCUGGACUGUGGGUGACAGGCGGCAGUUCUAGGACCUCUCUAGUAUUCAACUUAUCCCAGUUGCUCUUUGUUUUUCCAUCCAGGGGUCUUGGUGGACAUGUGAAAGGCAAGUGGAUAGCUUGUAGGAUGCACACUUCACGUCCAGGUCCCUGAUCCCUGACCUAGGAGGCCUUGUGGGGGCAGCAAGAUCCCUCUUCUUGUGCCCCAGCCUCCAAUUCCCAGUCCUGGAACAUGGAGGAAGUGGGAGGAGCCAGGCCAGUACCCCUGGAAGGAGUCCAGCUCUGUGGUUUGUUUGCUGUGUGGCUCCAGAGAGUAGCUUAACCUUUCUGUGCUGGAACUUCACUGAAGAUGUCCGGAUAAUGAUAGGCCCCUCCUAAAGCUUCUGGGGGCUAUGGUAGAGGAUCUGCUCAACACACCUGCUUUCUCCAGGGUUGGAGAUGAAGAUCUGACCCAUAGACCUCACUUUCCAGAUGCCCAGAGUCCUGACAAGAUACUGAAUGACUUCUAAGGGUAACACAGGGGUCAUGAGGAAAGGGCUCCCCCCACUCCUCAGAGAGCCUGCCCCCUCCCGCCGCAGGAGCCAACCUCCUUCCUGAUUUCCUCAGCCAGGCUGUCCCAACCCCUCUGACAUCCUACUUUCUGUUUCUCUUUGCCAAAACCCGGGUCCUGCUGCACAGUGGGGCCUGUCUCCCCAGGAGGGCAGCUCUGUCUCAGAGAAGGAGAGAAGCUGGGUCGGAGCCCAAGGAAGUGCAGCCACCCGAGGGCCCUCCCACCCCUGAAACCAAAGCAGGAAGGAGGUGGGGCCCCAGGGGAGAGGGGAGGCAGCUGGGCAGCCAGCCAGCCAGCUGGGAAGGUCACUCCAGAUGGGGGCUUUCCUAAAACAAGGCCAGUAAGAAGAAUGGAGCCCUAGUGCCCCAGACAAAGGGCAGGGCGGGGACAAGCCCAUCAGGAGAGGCAGCAGCAGAGGUCUGAAGACCAGCUCAGCAGUUCGUAUCAGUGAUGCUGGCUUUGUUAGCAGAAGCAGAAACCAAGCACCUGGUAGCUAGGAUGACCACUGUAGACCAUGUCCGCUGGAGAAUGUUCAUCAUCUUAAGCAAAGCACCCUCUAAAUUGCCUUGGGUGUUUUCCCCAGCAAUCUUUUUAACGGCAGGGCGACACGCCUUUCUGCAGACUUAAUUCUGUGGCUGGUUUCAUUUCUGCACUGUGAAGGGAAAAAUCAUCUCCAAGAUAAGAAGAUAAAUUGUUUCCCAUGAAGAAGCUACCAAGUGUGAAAAAUUAAAUUAGUCUUCAAAUGCUUCUUACGAGUUGUGCCUAUCAUCCCUCUAUUUUAGCUGUUCAAGGUCAAGCUUCGUGCUAUUAAGACAAUGCACUUGUCUAAACUUGGAAAUAUGUCAGCCUUGAGUGUCUGGUUUGCCAGGGACUGGGGAGCUUCCUGGGGCAUGGGAAAUUCAUUGUCAAAACUGGGAAGCCAGGGAGCAGUUGGUUGUCCUAAGUGCCCUAUGAGUGGAGGUUUCCGUUCUAAUCUUCAUGCUGAGGGCAGCCAGGUGCCCAGAGAGUACCGGUUUUUGGGGAGGACACUGGCAGGUAAUCCAAGGCCACAAUCCAGAGAUGGCUUUUUCAAUGACAGUCACCAAAAUGCACCUGAAGCUUUACUGAUGAGCGUAAGGAGGAGCAGAGAUGGGUUUCCGUUGAUGACAUUAGUGGCUUUAUUAAUUAGCAUAACAGAUGACAGAAAUGGUCUUUUUUUUUUUUUUAAGAUUUUAUUUAUUUAUUUGACACAGAGAGAGAGAAA